CUCAGGCUUCCCAGUAAACAAUGAGCAGUUGGUUCCACAUGGCUCCCUGUCAAAAAUCCCAAACUGGAAAGGCAGGAAAACAAACAAUCAGAUCAGGAAGAAAUGGGUUUUUGGCACCAGUUUCCUCUGUGUUGACUGGGCUGUGAGACAGACCCUGAGAAAUGGCUCAGAUUUGAGUCAAACAGCCCAGGCAGGGAUGGGGAGGGUGGAGAAAUGGAUAAAAAUACUGGAUAAAAAUGAGAUGCAGGCACCUGCAUGUGCUGAGGAGCAGGGGAAGAGCACAGGUCCCUGUGUGCUUCCCACAUGGCAGAGACAUUUCAAACACAGGAGGCUGCCUGGUGAGGCAGGACGAGUGCCAGGAAAAUCUGUGCUCCAGCUGAAAGGAGGAUUUGGGGAGUGGAGAGCAGCACUUGGUUCAGAAAUGGAGAAUAAACUGAGGGUCUGAGGUGGAGCAGAAAGCAAAGGCUUCUCCUCUGUGCUCAGGUUCCACUGACAGGCUGGAGCUGCUGCCUCUUUGGGCAUAACCCAGACAAAUUCAGUGCUUCUGGAUCAGCCCAUUCAGGAUGCAGCUUCCAAAAGGAGGAUUGUCUGGUUUUGGAAAAGUUCCUACUUCAGGAAAGUUUAGUCUCUCCUUACAUAAACAUCCUGAGGUGUAGGACGAGUUUUUUUCUCUCCCCUGGCCUUGUUAGCGUUGAUAUUAUUGC